UAAUCAAAAUUAUUCUUCAUUGCGCAAAUUUCCAUUAUUUCUUUCAAAACAACUUUACUUCUGAAAAUUCGAUCUUUCUUCACGAAAUAACCGGUGAGUUCGAAUCCUUCCCUCUUCGGUCUUCUCUUUUACAAUUCUUUUAUUUUUAAUAAUUAAUAGGCCCGUUUUUGUUUAAAAAAUAAUAAUUAAUAGGCCAAUUUAUCUUUUGCUUUCAGCCCCCAA
rnacentral:lncRNA from 1 species